AUUGAACGCUGGCGGCAGGCCUAACACAUGCAAGUCGAGCGGAUGAAGGGAGCUUGCUCCUGGAUUCAGCGGCGGACGGGUGAGUAAUGCCUAGGAAUCUGCCUGGUAGUAGGGGAUAACGUCCGGAAACGGGCGCUAAUACCGCAUACGUCCUAGGGGAGAAAGUGGGGGAUCUUCGGACCUCACGCUAUCAGAUGAGCCUAGGUCGGAUUAGCUAGUUGGUGGGGUAAAGGCCUACCAAGGCGACGAUCCGUAACUGGUCUGAGAGGAUGAUCAGUCACACUGGAACUGAGACACGGUCCAGACUCCUACGGGAGGCAGCAGUGGGGAAUAUUGGACAAUGGGCGAAAGCCUGAUCCAGCCAUGCCGCGUGUGUGAAGAAGGUCUUCGGAUUGUAAAGCACUUUAAGUUGGGAGGAAGGGCAGUAAGUUAAUACCUUGCUGUUUUGACGUUACCAACAGAAUAAGCACCGGCUAACUUCGUG
rnacentral:rRNA from 1 species